AUCAAAUUAAUUAAAUAAGUAAUAACAAUAAUGGAUUAAUUAAAAAAUCGUAUCGUAUAAGACAAUAAAUUUAAUACGUUUUAAUUCAACCCUUCAAAUUUAGAUGGCGCUAGUAUGAAUUUGAUAUUACAGAUUUUAAUACAAACAUAAAUACUGUCAUUAAUCAAAAAGUUACUUUUUAAUUACGUAUAUUAUUAAUUAAAAACAUCCUAAUAGAUGGGAAACGUUUUUUAUUCGAUAUGCUGGUUCUUUGUCCUCAUCCUGUUCUCAUUUCCCAUCGCGUUUCUUUGCGCACCCUUUUACAUUUUCUUUUACAUGUUCGCCGCUUGUUGUGAUUGUUGCACGCCUUUUACAGAUUUUCUUUUAAAAGGGGUACAACUGCCAAAUAUAUGCGUAACAAAUAUGAUUGAAGGAAAAUGUUAAUUUAUAAACAAAACUUUAAAGUGUUUUGAAUCACGUUUAUUUUUGUACCUGAAUCACCUGAACGAUGCGAACACGUCAAGGAUAUAUUUCUAAUCGUUUCAAAAAAAAUUUAAUAAAUUCUUUUACUUUAA